GGUAGUUGUGAGACAACUUCAACAGGAACUGGCUGAUACUCUGAAGAAACAGUCUAUGUCAGAGGCUUCCCCAGAGGUUACGUCAUAUCUUUGUCUGGAAGAUGAAACACAGGAUCUCAAGAAGAAAUUAGGUCAAAUCAGAAGUCAGUUGCAGGAAGAACAGGAACGACAUGCAGAGGCCGUAAGAUAUGCUGAGGAGAUGAAAGAUCAUAUGCAAAAGCUAUAGGUUAAAAAUGCCACACAAGAAGCAACCAUCAAACAUCAAGCGGCCCAAAUUCAAGAUCUUGAGAGCAACGUGAUAAAGACAAGUUUGGUAAGUCGGUCUCUUAAUGUCUGUCCUACUGAAAAGGAAUCCUUAUUUCACUAGUAGUAGUACAUAAGAAUGUUUUGGAACCUAUGGAAAAUCUCACUGCUCCAAAGGUUUGGUUGAUAUUGUUCCUACUUGCUACUAGUGUUGUAAUUCUUCAAUAUAGAUGAAGUUGAUUGAACUCAUAAAGUAAUGAUGUUUAUAGUGAGAUUUUCAUAAAAACAUUGUGAGAGUCUUAAAAAGCAA